rnacentral:rRNA from 1 species
GCAGCCGCGGUAACACCGGCAGCUCUAGUGGUAGCCAUUUUUAUUGGGCCUAAAGCGUUCGUAGCCGGUUUGAUAAGUCUCUGGUGAAAUCCUGUAGCUUAACUGUGGGAAUUGCUGGAGAUACUAUUAGACUUGAGGUCGGGAGAGGUUAGCGGUACUCCCAGGGUAGGGGUGAAAUCCUGUAAUCCUGGGAGGACCACCUGUGGCGAAGGCGGCUAACUGGAACGAACCUGACGGUGAGGGACGAAAGCCAGGGGCGCGAACCGGAUUAGAUACCCG